GAACGCUGGCGGCGUGCCUAACACAUGCAAGUCGAGCGGUAACAGGUGUAGCAAUACAUGCUGACGAGCGGCGGACGGGUGAGUAACGCUUGGGAAUCUGCCUAUUAGUGGGGGAUAACUCGGGGAAACUCGAGCUAAUACCGCAUACGCACUACGGUGGAAAGCUGGGGACCGCAAGGCCUGGCGCUAAUAGAUGAGCCCAAGUCGGAUUAGCUAGUUGGUAGGGUAAUGGCCUACCAAGGCGACGAUCCGUAACUGGUCUGAGAGGACGACCAGUCACACCGGAACUGAGACACGGUCCGGACUCCUACGGGAGGCAGCAGUGGGGAAUAUUGGACAAUGGGCGAAAGCCUGAUCCAGCGACGCCGCGUGGGUGAAGAAGGCCUGCGGGUUGUAAAGCCCUUUCAGUGGGGAAGAAAAGCCUCGAGUGAAUACCUCGGGGUCUUGACGUAACCCAUAGAAGAAGCACCGGCUAACUCUGUGCCAGCAGCCGCGGUAAUACAGAGGGUGCGAGCGUUAAUCGGAAUUACUGGGCGUAAAGCGCGCGUAGGCGGCUUUGCAAGUCGGAUGUGAAAUCCCCGGGCUCAACCUGGGAACUGCAUUCGAGACUGCAUUGCUAGAGUAUGGGAGAGGGAAGUGGAAUUUCAGGUGUAGCGGUGAAAUGCGUAGAUAUCUGAAGGAACAUCAGUGGCGAAAGCGACUUCCUGGACCAAUACUGACGCUCAUGUGCGAAAGCGUGGGGAGCAAACAGGAUUAGAUACCCUGGUAGUCCACGCCAUAAACGAUGAGAACUGGAUGUCGGGAGGGUUCUGCCUCUCGGUGUCGUAGCUAACGCGUUAAGUUCUCCGCCUGGGGAGUACGGCCGCAAGGU
rnacentral:rRNA from 1 species